UGGGGAAUCUUGCGCAAUGGGCGAAAGCCUGACGCAGCCAUGCCGCGUGAAUGAUGAAGGUCUUAGGAUUGUAAAAUUCUUUCACCGGGGACGAUAAUGACGGUACCCGGAGAAGAAGCCCCGGCUAACUUCGUGCCAGCAGCCGCGGUAAUACGAAGGGGGCUAGCGUUGCUCGGAAUUACUGGGCGUAAAGGGCGCGUAGGCGGAUCGUUAAGUCAGAGGUGAAAUCCCAGGGCUCAACCCUGGAACUGCCUUUGAUACUGGCGAUCUUGAGUAUGAGGGAGGUAUGUGGAACUCCGAGUGUGGAGGUGAAAUUCGUAGAUAUUCGGAAGAACACCAGUGGCGAAGGCGACAUACUGGCUCAUUACUGACGCUGAGGCGCGAAAGCGUGGGGAGCAAACAGG
rnacentral:rRNA from 1 species